rnacentral:rRNA from 1 species
CGAUGGUUCAUUCAAAUUUCUGCCCUAUCAACUUUCGAUGGUAGAGUAGUGGUCUACCAUGGUUUCAACGGGUAACGGGGAAUUAGGGUUCUAUUCCGGAGAGGGAGCCUGAGAAACGGCUACCACAUCCAAGGAAGGCAGCAGGCGCGCAAAUUACCCAAUCCCGACACGGGGAGGUAGUGACAAUAAAUACUGAUACAGGGCUCUUUUGGGUCUUGUAAUUGGAAUGAGUACAAUUUAAAUCCCUUAACGAGGAACAAUUGGAGGGCUCAGUCUGGUGCCAGCAGCCGCGGUAAUUCCAGCUCCAAUAGCGUAUAUUAAAGUUGUUGCAGUUAAAAAGCUCGUAGUUGAACCUUGGGCCUGGCUGGCCGGUCCGCCUCACCGCGUGCACUGGUCCGGCCGGGCCUUUCCUUCUGGGGAGCCGCAUGCCCUUCACUGGGUGUGUCGGGGAACCAGGACUUUUACUUUGAAAAAAUUAGAGUGUUCAAAGCAGGCCUAUGCUCGAAUACAUUAGCAUGGAAUAAUAGAA